GAUGAAGAACGUAGCAAAAUGCGAUAAGUAAUGUGAAUUGCAGAAUUCAGUGAAUCAUCGAAUCUUUGAACGCACAUUGCGCCCGCUGGUAUUCCGGCGGGCAUGCCUGUUCGAGCGUCAUUUCAACCCUCAAACCCCCGGGUUUGGUGUUGGGGAUCGGCUCUGCCUCACGGCGGUGCCGCCCCCGAAAUACAUUGGCGGUCUCGCUGCAGCCUCCAUUGCGUAGUAGCUAACACCUCGCAACUCGAACGCGGCGCGGCCAUGCCGUAAAACCCCAACUUCUGAAUGUUGACCUCGGAUCAGGUAGGAAUACCCGCUGAACUUAAGCAUAUCAAUAAGCGGAGGA
rnacentral:misc_RNA from 1 species